GAUGAAGAACGUAGCGAAAUGCGAUAAGUAAUGUGAAUUGCAGAAUUCAGUGAAUCAUCGAAUCUUUGAACGCACAUUGCGCCCCUUGGUAUUCCGAGGGGCAUGCCUGUUCGAGCGUCAUUUCAACCCUCAAGCUCAGCUUGGUGUUGGGACUCGCGGUAACCCGCGUUCCCCAAAUCGAUUGGCGGUCACGUCGAGCUUCCAUAGCGUAGUAAUCAUACACCUCGUUACUGGUAAUCGUCGCGGCCACGCCGUAAAACCCCAACUUCUGAAUGUUGACCUCGGAUCAGGUAGGAAUACCCGCUGAACUUAAGCAUAUCAAUAAGCGGAGGA
rnacentral:misc_RNA from 1 species